GACGAACGCUGGCGGCGUGGAUUAGGCAUGCAAGUCGGACGGUAGGGCUUUAUCGUAAGAUAGAGUUUGAGAGUGGCGAACGGGUGAGUAACACGUAGGAAUCUACCCUUAAGACGGGGACAACCCAGGGAAACUUGGGCUAAUACCGGAUGAGAGUGCGAGAGAUUGCAUUUAAAAGGAUGGCGAAAGUUAUCGCUUAGGGAUGAGCCUGCGGUCUAUUAGUUAGUUGGUGGGGUAAGAGCUCACCAAGGCGAUGAUAGAUAGGCGGCCUUAACGGGUGGUCGCCCACACUGGGAUUGAGAUACGGCCCAGACUCCUACGGGAGGCAGCAGUCGAGAAUAGUCUACAAUGGUCGGAAGACUGAUAGUGCGACGCCGCGUGAACGAUGAAUCCCUUCGGGGUUAAAGUUCUUUUAUAUGUGAGCAGUGCUUCUUAUAUUAACAGUAUGGGGAAGAGAUAUUAGCAAUAUGAAUAAGCAAACGGCUAACUCCGUGCC
rnacentral:rRNA from 1 species